GAUGAACGCUAGCUACAGGCUUAACACAUGCAAGUCGAGGGGAAACGACAUCGAAAGCUUGCUUUUGGUGGGCGUCGACCGGCGCACGGGUGAGUAACGCGUAUCCAACCUGCCCACCACUUGGGGAUAACCUUGCGAAAGUAAGACUAAUACCCAAUGAUAUCCCACGAAGGCAUCCGAAUGGGAUUAAAGAUUUAUCGGUGAUGGAUGGGGAUGCGUCUGAAUUAGCUUGUUGGCGGGGUAACGGCCCACCAAGGCGACGAUCAGUAGGGGUUCUGAGAGGAAGGUCCCCCACAAUUGGAACCUGAGACACGGUCCAAAACUCCUACGGGAGGCAGCAGUGAGGAAUAUU
rnacentral:rRNA from 1 species